GCGGAUGUGUUGAGACUGCACGAGAAUGACUUUAUUUUGGUCUGUAAUGAGCUUGCUCUCUUUUCUAAAACUUAUCUCUGGGCGGUGAACAGAAGACCGCGCGCUCCCGUUAAGCCCUUCGUGCCCCGGGGAAGCCAUGCUUGAAAUCUGAAUGGGACGUCACAAAAGAGAAACAGCAGGCAGUAUAAACCCAGGUGGACAACUCUGAGGACGUUUGGCAGCACAAUAUGAAGAUUGCUGUUGUUUGUGCUUCCUACGCUGAAGAUCCUGUAGAUGUCUCUCUUAUUCUUGACGGCAAGGAGGUUGUGACUGGAUGUGGAAAUACUGCAAAGCCAUGUACACUGCUAAUGGAGUGAAAGUAGCAGUUCCUCCUUAAGGUCAGAGAUUGCAGCAUCUGAGGGCCUCUUCAAAAGAAGACGUAGUUGAUGAAGGCGUUCUGGAGCAGGACC
ensembl:lncRNA